rnacentral:rRNA from 5 species
UUUUAUGGAGAGUUUGAUCCUGGCUCAGGAUGAACGCUGGCGGCGUGCCUAAUACAUGCAAGUCGAGCGAACGGACGAGAAGCUUGCUUCUCUGAUGUUAGCGGCGGACGGGUGAGUAACACGUGGAUAACCUACCUAUAAGACUGGGAUAACUUCGGGAAACCGGAGCUAAUACCGGAUAAUAUUUUGAACCGCAUGGUUCAAAAGUGAAAGACGGUCUUGCUGUCACUUAUAGAUGGAUCCGCGCUGCAUUAGCUAGUUGGUAAGGUAACGGCUUACCAAGGCAACGAUGCAUAGCCGACCUGAGAGGGUGAUCGGCCACACUGGAACUGAGACACGGUCCAGACUCCUACGGGAGGCAGCAGUAGGGAAUCUUCCGCAAUGGGCGAAAGCCUGACGGAGCAACGCCGCGUGAGUGAUGAAGGUCUUCGGAUCGUAAAACUCUGUUAUUAGGGAAGAACAUAUGUGUAAGUAACUGUGCACAUCUUGACGGUACCUAAUCAGAAAGCCACGGCUAACUACGUGCCAGCAGCCGCGGUAAUACGUAGGUGGCAAGCGUUAUCCGGAAUUAUUGGGCGUAAAGCGCGCGUAGGCGGUUUUUUAAGUCUGAUGUGAAAGCCCACGGCUCAACCGUGGAGGGUCAUUGGAAACUGGAAAACUUGAGUGCAGAAGAGGAAAGUGGAAUUCCAUGUGUAGCGGUGAAAUGCGCAGAGAUAUGGAGGAACACCAGUGGCGAAGGCGACUUUCUGGUCUGUAACUGACGCUGAUGUGCGAAAGCGUGGGGAUCAAACAGGAUUAGAUACCCUGGUAGUCCACGCCGUAAACGAUGAGUGCUAAGUGUUAGGGGGUUUCCGCCCCUUAGUGCUGCAGCUAACGCAUUAAGCACUCCGCCUGGGGAGUACGACCGCAAGGUUGAAACUCAAAGGAAUUGACGGGGACCCGCACAAGCGGUGGAGCAUGUGGUUUAAUUCGAAGCAACGCGAAGAACCUUACCAAAUCUUGACAUCCUUUGACAACUCUAGAGAUAGAGCCUUCCCCUUCGGGGGACAAAGUGACAGGUGGUGCAUGGUUGUCGUCAGCUCGUGUCGUGAGAUGUUGGGUUAAGUCCCGCAACGAGCGCAACCCUUAAGCUUAGUUGCCAUCAUUAAGUUGGGCACUCUAAGUUGACUGCCGGUGACAAACCGGAGGAAGGUGGGGAUGACGUCAAAUCAUCAUGCCCCUUAUGAUUUGGGCUACACACGUGCUACAAUGGACAAUACAAAGGGCAGCGAAACCGCGAGGUCAAGCAAAUCCCAUAAAGUUGUUCUCAGUUCGGAUUGUAGUCUGCAACUCGACUACAUGAAGCUGGAAUCGCUAGUAAUCGUAGAUCAGCAUGCUACGGUGAAUACGUUCCCGGGUCUUGUACACACCGCCCGUCACACCACGAGAGUUUGUAACACCCGAAGCCGGUGGAGUAACCUUUUAGGAGCUAGCCGUCGAAGGUGGGACAAAUGAUUGGGGUGAAGUCGUAACAAGGUAGCCGUAUCGGAAGGUGCGGCUGGAUCACCUCCUUUCUA